AAAAAAACUAAUUGGGGAGCGCGGACCUACCCCGCGUGAUGAUACAAAUGGGGACUGGCAUUUCAUCAUAGCAACAGCAGAGCUGCUACCCCGCAUUUGGGACUGCGAAACUCGCAGACUGAAUGAUCUACUAAACUGCAAGUACCUUGUCAUUGGUGACACAAAGUACACUCCACAAAAGAUAGAGAUCCCUCCUGCCAUCCUUUGACUUGAUCCUAGGACCUUCUAUCUUAUGGCACGUUGUGUCCACACCCCCCUCUUCCUGCCACAGGGACAGAUCAUUGCGCAGGUAAUCCCAGUGCCUCACCUUUUAUGUGAUGAUCUAGACCUGUCAGUCUUUUACAAAGAGACGCUGGAAGAGGAGAAGUUUCUUGUGUGGUGUGGCCUUAAGAGCGAGGGGCAUUCCAUUCAACUUCAGGGGAUGAUGGACACAGGGGCAGAUGUAACAGUCAUUUCCUCACACAAAUGGCCACAACAGUGGGAGCUGGAAAGUGUAGGCAACCCAGUUUUUGGUGUGUGGGGUCCACAACUGGCACAACAGUCUAAGAAUAUAGUCCAAAUUAAGGGGCCGAAUGGGCAAUUAGCAUCUCUACGCCCGUUUGUUUUAAAUUCAAAGUUCACUCUCUGGGGAAGAGAUGCCUUGACCCAGUGGGGGACAAAAUUAGAACUACCAGCCCACCAGGGUUUUUAGGUGCAGCCACUGAAGAGCGCCCUACCCAAAAACUCAAGUGGCUCACAAACACACCCAUCUGAGUAGAGCAAUGGCCACUGAAUAAAGAAAAGCUAAGAGUGCUCACUCAGAUUGUGAAAGAUGAAUUGGCAAAAGGACAUAUAGUAGAAACCAACAGCCCUUGGAAUUCACCAUUUUUCGUUAUUAAGAAACCGGGAAAGGACAAGCGGCGACUCCUCCAUGAUCUCAGAAAAAUUAAUAACGUAAUUGAGGACUUAGGAUCUCUCCAACCAGGGAUGCCUUCCCCAUCUAUGUUCCCCCAAGACUGGAAAUUGGCAGCGAUAGAUAUCAAGGAUUGUCUCUUUCAAAUUCCCCUGCACCCAGAUGAUGCACCAUGCUUUGCCUUCUCUGUACCUUCCAUCAACAGAGAGGCUCCCAUGAAACACUACCACUGGAAAGUACUACCUCAGGUCCUCAAAUGCUCUCCUACCAUUUGCCAGUGGUAUGUUGCCAGAGUUCUGUCCCCAGUGCGUGCCAAGUGGGAAAAUUGCAUUUUCUACCAUUAUAUGGAUGAUGUUCUUGUCUGUGCCAACAGUGAAAUUCUACUUGCAGAGGCAUUGGAGGACACUAUCACAGCCUUGUCGGCAGUUGGAUUUGAGUUACAGAAAGAAACUCCUGCCACCUUGGAAAUACCUGGGCCUUGAAAUUAACAACAGGACCAUCAUACCCCAGAGGCCAAUGAUAAAUGACAACCCAAAAACAUUACGGGACCUCCAUCAGCUGUGUGGGUCCUUAAACUGGAUCAGACCCUGGCUGGGGCUCACCACUGUACCCUGACCACUCCUACUCCCUUGCCCUUAUAUGCCUAGUCCCGCCUUCCCUCGGGGCUCCUGGAGCCUGCUCCCUCCUCGAGAGCUUGUGUUCCCUAUCUCCUUCUCCCGCUCCUUCUCCUUCCUUCAAUAAAGCCUCUUGGAAUUCUGCUGCCCAGGAGA